rnacentral:rRNA from 1 species
GUUGAUCCUGGCUCAGGAUGAACGCUGGCGGUCUGCUUAACACAUGCAAGUCGAACGCAACCUUCGGGUUGAGUGGCGGACGGGUGAGUAACGCGUGAGAAUCUGCCUUGGGGUCGGGGACAACCACUGGAAACGGUGGCUAAUACCGGAUAAGCCUUUGGGUAAAAGAUUUAUUGCCCCAAGAGGAGCUCGCGUCUGAUUAGCUAGUUGGUGAGGUAAAAGCUCACCAAGGCAGCGAUCAGUAGCUGGUCUGAGAGGACGAUCAGCCACACUGGGACUGAGACACGGCCCAGACUCCUACGGGAGGCAGCAGUGGGGAAUUUUCCGCAAUGGGCGAAAGCCUGACGGAGCAAGACCGCGUGAGGGAGGAAGGCUCUUGGGUUGUAAACCUCUUUUCUCAGGGAAGAAGCUCUGACGGUACCUGAGGAAUCAGCCUCGGCUAACUCCGUGCCAGCAGCCGCGGUAAUACGGAGGAGGCAAGCGUUAUCCGGAAUUAUUGGGCGUAAAGCGUCCGCAGGUGGCGAUUCAAGUCUGCUGUCAAAGCACGGGGCUUAACUCCGUUAAGGCAGUGGAAACUGAAUAGCUAGAGUGCCGUAGGGGUAGAGGGAAUUCCCGGUGUAGCGGUGAAAUGCGUAGAGAUCGGGAAGAACAUCGGUGGCGAAAGCGCUCUACUGGACGGCAACUGACACUCAGGGACGAAAGCUAGGGGAGCGAAUGGGAUUAGAUACCCCAGUAGUCCUAGCUGUAAACGAUGGAUACUAGGUGUAGCUUGUAUCGACCCGAGCUGUGCCGAAGCUAACGCGUUAAGUAUCCCGNCUUGGGGAGUACGCACGCAAGUGUGAGAACUCAAGGAAUUGACUGGGGGCCCGCACAAGCGGUGGAGUAUGU